rnacentral:rRNA from 1 species
AGAACGAACGCUGGCGGCAUGCCUAACACAUGCAAGUCGAACGCUUCCGGGGCUUCGGUCGCGGAGGAGUGGCGCACGGGUGAGUAGCGCGUGGGAACCUGCCCUGUUGUGGGGGAUAACCGAGGGAAACUUCGGCUAAUACCGCAUACGCCCCGGGACUUGGUCUUCGGAUUAGGUCUGGGGGGAAAGAUUGAUCGCAGCAGGAGGGGCCCGCGUCGGAUUAGCUGGUUGGUGGGGUAACGGCUCACCAAGGCGAUGAUCCGUAGCUGGUCUGAGAGGAUGAUCAGCCACACUGGGACUGAGACACGGCCCAGACUCCUACGGGAGGCAGCAGUGGGGAAUAUUGGACAAUGGGGGCAACCCUGAUCCAGCAAUGCCGCGUGAGUGAUGAAGGCCUUAGGGUUGUAAAGCUCUUUCGCUCGGGACGAUAAUGACGGUACCGAGAUAAGAAGCCCCGGCUAACUUCGCGCCAGCAGCCGC